rnacentral:rRNA from 1 species
UACGUAGGGUGCGAGCGUUGUCCGGAAUUAUUGGGCGUAAAGGGCUCGUAGGCGGUUUGUCGCGUCGGGAGUGAAGACCUACAGCUUAACUGUGGGCUUGCUUUCGAUACGGGCAGACUUGAGGCAUGCAGGGGAGAACGGAAUUCCUGGUGUAGCGGUGAAAUGCGCAGAUAUCAGGAGGAACACCGGUGGCGAAGGCGGGUCUCUGGGCCGAUACUGACGCUGAGGAGCGAAAGCGUGGGGAGCGAACAGG